rnacentral:rRNA from 1 species
GACGAACGCUGGCGGCGUGCUUAACACAUGCAAGUCGAACGGUGAAGGGACUGGUUUUGCUGGUCCUGGAUGAGUGGCGAACGGGUGAGUAACACGUGAGUAACCUGCCCCCUUCUUCUGGAUAACCGCAUGAAAGUGUGGCUAAUACGGGACAUUCUGGGUCUGUCGCAUGGUGGGCCUGGGAAAGAUUGCGCCUUUUUUGGUGUUUGUGGUGGGGGUUGGUUUCGCGGCCUAUCAGCUUGUUGGGGGGGUGAUGGUCUACCAAGGCGGUGACGGGUAGCCGGCCUGAGGGGGUGGACGGUCACACGGGGAGUGAGACGCGGCACAGACCUAGACGGGGGGCAGGAGUGGGGAAUAGUGCACAAUGGGAGAAAGCGUGAUGCAGCGGCGGCGCGUGAGGGAAGGAGGCCCUCGGGGUGUGAACCUCUUUCGCCAGAGAAGCAGGCGUGCCUUUUUUUGUGGGUGGGUUGACGGUAGCUGGAUAAGAAGCGCCGGCUAACUACGUG